GUCUCCCAUAGAAGCACAUUUCUGGAGAUGUAGCGAUUCCACAAAGGUAGAUUAGUCCAAAGAAAGAAUGAGUCCUUAACAACAUCGACUCAUACUUAUGUGUGUUGUAUACAUUUUCGUGGGCAGGUUUAGUACGAAUGGCUGUGUCUUUGCCUACACUCUCACCAAUUCACAACACUAACGGAAGUUCAUGCUGGAUGGGCCUUUAGGAUUCUUAUAGAACACAGAGAAGAGAAGAAGAUUAGG